UUUUCGGAUUGGUUGUAAUGUAAUAUGUUAAUUCGUCAUUUUAAUUCAUCGAAAGUUUAUUAGGAUAAUACUUAUAAUAUUCUAUAUGUAGAUAAAGAAAACUAAUGAUAUUUUAAAUUCUCUUAUUAUCAAAUUAUAGAAGACGUAUUGAAGAUCAUAAAAAUAAAUAAUAAAAAUAAAAUUAUCAAAUCUGAAAGCAUAUUGAAUACUGUCCUAAGGAGUAUUCUCGUCCUUCAUGCAAAAAAAUCUAAAAAAAUUAUUCUAAGAUACAAUCG
rnacentral:lncRNA from 1 species